rnacentral:rRNA from 1 species
UGGCGGACGGGUGAGUAAUGUCUGGGAAACUGCCCGAUGGAGGGGGAUAACUACUGGAAACGGUAGCUAAUACCGCAUAACGUCGCAAUACCAAAGAGGGGGACCUUCGGGCCUCUUGCCAUCGGAUGUGCCCAGAUGGGAUUAGCUAGUAGGUGGGGUAACGGCUCACCUAGGCGACGAUCCCUAGCUGGUCUGAGAGGAUGACCAGCCACACUGGAACUGAGACACGGUCCAG